UCCUCACAUAGCUGAGACCCAAGGUUCCGGGUUCGAUCCCCAAUCAGAAUCAUACAAGAAUCAACCAAUGAAUGCAUAAUCAUCAGUAGCACUAUUUGUAAAUAGAUUGGACUCAAUGGAAUCUGUCUUACCUCAUGAAUAUAAUAUAAAAUGCUGUCCCUUGGAUUGAAGAAACAAGACAGUGUUGUUCAGUUCAGCUGCCAAUAAGGAAUUUUUAGUUUUCUAUUAACAAGACAGAAACAUGUAUAAAAGUUUGUGUAAUAUCUUAUGGUGCAGCAAAUCAAGACGAAAAGUAAAAGCUGGCUUCUUUUUUGGAAGAAGGGAAUGCAGCUGAAUUAUCAACCUCACUGAUAGGUUUGACAUCUGAAAGAACAUGACUUAA